AGCUGAUCCCAAAAAGCCGUCUCAGUUCGGAUUGCACUCUGCAACUCGGGUGCAUGAAGGUGGAAUCGCUAGUAAUCGCGGAUCAGCAUGCCGCGGUGAAUACGUUCCCGGGCCUUGUACACACCGCCCGUCACACCAUGGGAGUUGGUUCGACCGUAAGCAGGUGCGCGAACCCGCAAGGGAUGCAGCCUACCAUGGUCGGGUCAGCGACUGGGGUGAAGUCGUAACAAGGUAGCCGUAGGGGAACCUGCGGCUGGAUCACCUCCUUU
rnacentral:rRNA from 1 species